rnacentral:lncRNA from 1 species
CGCCCUACACCCUAUAUUGGAUGAAUUUUGAACAUAUAACAAGAUAGAAUAGAACAAUCAUAAAUCAAAUACAUCCAAACGGUGUCAACCCCAAUACUAAUAUCAAUGCCAAGGCUGACACUAAUACCGACACUACUCAUGUCCAUAGUAGUCACACAAAGCCUCUAUCCAAAAUCAAAAUAUCCGACCAAUACAUGCCCC